AACGAACGCUGGCGGCAGGCUUAACACAUGCAAGUCGAACGGGCGUAGCAAUACGUCAGUGGCAGACGGGUGAGUAACACGUGGGAAUAUCCCUUUCAGUUCGGAAUAACUCAGGGAAACUUGAGCUAAUACCGGAUACGUCCUUCGGGAGAAAGAUUUAUCGCUGAGAGAUUAGCCCGCGUCUGAUUAGCUAGUUGGUGAGGUAAUGGCUCACCAAGGCGACGAUCAGUAGCUGGUCUGAGAGGAUGAUCAGCCACACUGGGACUGAGACACGGCCCAGACUCCUACGGGAGGCAGCAGUGGGGAAUAUUGGACAAUGGGCGCAAGCCUGAUGGAGCAACACCGCGUGAGUGAUGAAGGCCCUAGGGUUGUAAAGCUCUUUUACCCGGGAUGAUAAUGACAGUACCGGGAGAAUAAGCUCCGGCUAACUCCGUGCCAGCCGCCGCGGUAA
rnacentral:rRNA from 1 species